rnacentral:rRNA from 1 species
AAACGCAUGCUAAUACCGCAUACGCCCUACGGGGGAAAGGAGGGGAUCUUCGGACCUUUCGCUAUUAGAUGAGCCUGCGUGAGAUUAGCUAGUUGGUGGGGUAAAGGCUCACCAAGGCGACGAUCUCUAGCUGGUCUGAGAGGAUGAUCAGCCACACUGGGACUGAGACACGGCCCAGACUCCUACGGGAGGCAGCAGUGGGGAAUAUUGGACAAUGGGGGCAACCCUGAUCCAGCCAUGCCGCGUGUGUGAAGAAGGCCUUAGGGUUGUAAAGCACUUUCAGAGGUGAGGAAGGUUAUGCGGUUAAUACCCGUAUAAUUUGACGUUAGCCUCAGAAGAAGCACCGGCUAACUCUGUGCCAGCAGCCGCGGUAAUACAGAGGGUGCGAGCGUUAAUCGGAAUUACUGGGCGUAAAGCGCGCGUAGGCGGUUUGUUAAGUCGGAUGUGAAAUCCCAGGGCUCAACCUUGGAAUGGCACC